UGGGGAAUCUUCCGCAAUGGGCGAAAGCCUGACGGAGCAACGCCGCGUGAGUGAUGACGGCCUUCGGGUUGUAAAACUCUGUGAUCCGGGACGAAAAGGCAGAGUGCGAAGAACAAACUGCAUUGACGGUACCGGAAAAGCAAGCCACGGCUAACUACGUGCCAGCAGCCGCGGUAAUACGUAGGUGGCAAGCGUUGUCCGGAAUUAUUGGGCGUAAAGCGCGCGCAGGCGGCUUCCCAAGUCCCUCUUAAAAGUGCGGGGCUUAACCCCGUGAUGGGAAGGAAACUGGGAAGCUGGAGUAUCGGAGAGGAAAGUGGAAUUCCUAGUGUAGCGGUGAAAUGCGUAGAGAUUAGGGAGAACACCGGUGGCGAAGGCGACUUUCUGGACGAAAACUGACGCUGAGGCGCGAAAGCGUGGGGAGCAAACAGGAUUAGAUACCCUGGUAGUCCACGCCGUAAACGAUGGGUACUAGGUGUAGGAGGUAUCGACCCCUUCUGUGCCGGAGUUAACGCAAUAAGUAUCCCGCCUGGGAAGUACGAUCGCAAGAUUA
rnacentral:rRNA from 1 species